UGUCAGGAUUACUGUUUGAUCCAGCACGUAGAACUGUACAGCACGGAUGACAAAUAAGUAACGUAUUACCGGUCCUUAGAAUGGCCGGAUUUAACGUACAAAGAAUAGUCAAAAAUACUAACCGAGGUCAGGGAACACAGAAAGGGACACAGCGAUGAGGAAAGCCAGGACUCAGGAUACCAGAAAUAUAGAGAAGUCAAUAAACAAAGCCAAAGUCAAAAACCAGGUAGAAAACUAUAAACAGGAACGCGCUCUCAGACAACCACAAGGGAAACCACGACAGGGCACUGAGCAGGCUGAGAACUGG